GGCAGUUUAGACUCCCUUUUGGAACCUAGACAAUGGUAUAAGCAACUACUGCCACAUGGAGAAAAUACAUGGAAGAGGGAUGAAGUCCCCACCAAUGGCUAGCUAGUAGUAACUUCUGCCAUGUGAGUGAGCCCUCGUGGAUGUCUCCUCCAGGGUUGAAGGAGACUGAGAGAAAUUGUUCCUUCCAGGGUGAAGUAACCUGUUCCUAAGAGAUCCACAAGGAAGGAUGGAUCCAAAGUCUGUAUUCACAGCACCCAAAGUAAAAUCAUCCACGAGAUAGCUGGCAUCGUUCUGCUGACCAAAAACCUGAUGGCUUGAAAGGAGAGAGUCUAAACUCUUAAUUUUUAGCUUUGGGAAAAGAAUCUUUUUUCUCUAAAAUUAAGCUGAAAAGCAAAUAACAUCACCCAACUAGUGGUACUCAACCUUGAAAGAAAU
rnacentral:lncRNA from 1 species